UCUGGUGAUUUGAGCGGAGGGGAAACACCCUGUUCCAUCCCGAACCAGGAAGUUAAGCCCUCCAGCGCCGAUGGUACUUGGGGCGCAGGCCCCUGGGAGAGUAGGUCAUUGCCAGGA
rnacentral:rRNA from 1 species